CAUGGUUUUUAAAGGAAAAGGGUAUUUUUUAGUUGUACACACUCUUACAGAUUAAUCCAGUUUUAUGAAAUUUUGUGUAUGCAUAUUUUUAAUAUCGAGAAUGUGCUUUUUGGGAAUUUGUCUUUAAAACUCCUCCCCCAAUCAUUUAUAUUUUCAAACUACAGACAUUUUUCAUUUUACAUUAAAUUUUUUGGAGUACAGUGAAAAUGUUUUAAACCUCAUACCUUAAAAGAUGAAUAUUUUUCACCCGGUGUACUAUAGUGGUACUAUUUGAACCAU